rnacentral:rRNA from 1 species
UCCACGCAGUAAACGUUGUACACUAGGUGUAGCGGGUAUUGACCCCUGCUGUGCCGGAGCUAACGCAUUAAGUGUACCGCCUGGGGAGUACGGUCGCAAGACUAAAACUCAAAGAAAUUGACGGGGGCCCAGGAGGAAGGUGAGGACGACGUCAAGUCAUCAUGGCCCUUAUGGCUAGGGCUACACACGUGCUACAAUGGGGCGUACAGAGAGUUGCGAUACCGCGAGGUGGAGCCAAUCUCAUAAAAGCGUCUCUCAGUUCGGAUAGCAGUCUGCAACUCGACUGCUUGAAGCUGGAAUCACUAGUAAUCGUAGAUCAGCAAUGCUACGGUGAAUACGUUCCCGGGUCUUGUACUCACCGCCCGUC